GAUGAACGCUGGCGGCGUGCCUAAUACAUGCGAGUCGAGCGAACAGACGAGGAGCUUGCUCCUCUGACGUUAGCGGCGGACGGGUGAGUAACACGUGGAUAACCUACCUAUAAGACUGGGAUAACUUCGGGAAACCGGAGCUAAUACCGGAUAAUAUAUUGAACCGCAUGGUUCAAUAGUGAAAGACGGUUUUGCUGUCACUUAUAGAUGGAUCCGCGCCGCAUUAGCUAGUUGGUAAGGUAACGGCUUACCAAGGCAACGAUGCGUAGCCGACCUGAGAGGGUGAUCGGCCACACUGGAACUGAGACACGGUCCAGACUUCUACGGGAGGCAGCAGUAGGGAAUCUUCCGCAAUGGGCGAAAGCCUGACGGAGCAACGCCGCGUGAGUGAUGAAGGUCUUCGGAUCGUAAAACUCUGUUAUUAGGGAAGAACAAAUGUGUAAGUAACUAUGCACGUCUUGACGGUACCUAAUCAGAAAGCCACGGCUAACUACGUG
rnacentral:rRNA from 1 species